AGUGAACGCUGGCGGUAGGCCUAACACAUGCAAGUCGAACGGCAGCACAGGAGAGCUUGCUCUCUGGGUGGCGAGAGGCGGACGGGUGAGGAAUACAUCGGAAUCUACUCUGUCGUGGGGGAUAACGUAGGGAAACUUACGCUAAUACCGCAUACGACCUACGGGUGAAAGCAGGGGACCUUCGGGCCUUGCGCGAUUGAAUGAGCCGAUGUCGGAUUAGCUAGUUGGCGGGGUAAAGGCCCACCAAGGCGACGAUCCGUAGCUGGUCUGAGAGGAUGAUCAGCCACACUGGAACUGAGACACGGUCCAGACUCCUACGGGAGGCAGCAGUGGGGAAUAUUGGACAAUGGGCGCAAGCCUGAUCCAGCCAUACCGCGUGGGUGAAGAAGGCCUUCGGGUUGUAAAGCCCUUUUGUUGGGAAGGAAAUCCAGCUGGCUAAUACCCGGUUGGGAUGACGGUACCCAAAGAAUAAGCACCGGCUAACUUCGUGCCAGCAGCCGCCGUAA
rnacentral:rRNA from 1 species